rnacentral:rRNA from 1 species
GACGAACGCUGGCGGCGUGCUUAACACAUGCAAGUCGAACGAUGAAGCCCAGCUUGCUGGGUGGAUUAGUGGCGAACGGGUGAGUAACACGUGGGUGAUCUGCCCUGCACUUCGGGAUAAGCCUGGGAAACUGGGUCUAAUACCGGAUAGGACCUCGGGAUGCAUGUUCCGGGGUGGAAAGGUUUUCCGGUGCAGGAUGGGCCCGCGGCCUAUCAGCUUGUUGGUGGGGUAACGGCCCACCAAGGCGACGACGGGUAGCCGGCCUGAGAGGGUGAGCGGCCACACGGGGACUGAGACACGGCCCAGACUCCUACGGGAGGCAGCAGUGGGGAAUAUUGCACAAUGGGCGCAAGUCUGAUGCAGCGACGCCGCGUGAGGGAUGACGGCCUUCGGGUUGUAAACCUCUUUCAGUACCGACGAAGCGCAAGUGACGGUAGGUACAGAAGAAGCACCGGCCAACUACGUGCCAGCAGCCGCCGUAA